AAGGGGAGGCUGCUCACCUCACUGCACCAGAGAAGCACCCACUGAGUGCUGGGCCGGGCAGGAGCCUGGGCGGGAACUGAGGGGGACCAGGCCUAGAGCAGACUCAUCUCAGCUCUCGCUGCCCAGCCCACCAUGUCCUUUCUCCCAGCUGCCAUUGUCUUGUUUGUGGGACUCGUCGUAGGUAUUGGACUUGUAGUAGCAGCAAAUGGUUCAAGGAUGAGAAUGGCUGCAAGGAGGAACCGCGCAGGAUCUUUUGACUUCGCUUUUGAAGCUGGGGGAAAUGAACAGGUCCUCUCUCCAAGCAUCUGCCCAAGCUAUGCUGUCCAGAGGAGGAACAGAUGACCACUGCAGGUGAACAAAAGCACAUUUCCCUCCUGCCUUUCAAGCAGCCUGAUUUGUGUCUUCCCACAGCAGCAGCUAGAAAUCCGCCACUGACUCGCAGCUUCCACUUUAACAGAUUUGAAUUACCUUGAGCAAUAAA